rnacentral:rRNA from 1 species
UACAGAGGGGGCAAGCGUUAUUCGGAAUUAUUGGGCGUAAAGAGCUCGUAGGCGGUCUGUCGCGUCUGCUGUGAAAACUCAGGGCUUAACCCUGGGCCUGCAGUGGGUACGGGCAGACUAGAGUGCGGUAGGGGAGACUGGAAUUCCUGGUGUAGCGGUGAAAUGCGCAGAUAUCAGGAGGAACACCAAUGGCGAAGGCAGCACUCUGGGACGUGACUGACGCUGAGACGCGAAAGCGUGGGGAGCAAACAGG